rfam:Oryza barthii chromosome 2, whole genome shotgun sequence.
AAAAAAACAAACCCUGGUUUUUCGUGUCCAACGUUUGAUCGUACGUCUUAUUUAAAAAAAAUAUGAAAAAAAUUAAAAAGAUAAGUCACGCAUAAAAUAUUAAUCAUGUUUUAUCAUCUAACAACAAUGAAAAUACUAAUUAUAAAAAGAUUUCAUAUAAGACGGACAGUCAAACGUUGGACACGGAAAUUUAGGGUUUGUCUUUUU